rnacentral:rRNA from 1 species
CAAUAGCGUAUAUUAAAGUUGUUGCAGUUAAAAAGCUCGUAGUUGGAUUUGUGGCGUACGACGGGCUCCGGGCACUUGUUGUCUGAGUAGCUUGUCGUUGCCAUCCUUGGGUGGAACCUGUGUGGCAUUAGGUUGUCGUGCAGGGGAUGCCCAUCUUUUACUGUGAAAAAAUUAGAGUGUUCAAAGCAGGCUUAUGCCGUUGAAUAUAUUAGCAUGGAAUAAUAAGAUAGGACUUUGUCGCUAUUUUGUUGGUUUGCGCGAUAAGGUAAUGAUUAAUAGGGACAGUUGGGGGUAUUCGUAUUCCAUUGUCGGAGGUGAAAUUCUUGGAUUUUUGGAAGACGAACUACUGCGAAAGCAUUUACCAAGGAUGUUUUCAUUAA